rnacentral:tRNA from 1 species
GGCUGUAGCUAAGUGGUAGAGUGCUUGUCUAGCAUGUGGGAGGCACUGGGUUCGAUUCUCAGCACCA